AACGCGAAGAACCUUACCAGCUCUUGACAUGUCCCGUAUGAGUACCAGAGAUGGAACUCUUCAGUUCGGCUGGCGGGAACACAGGUGCUGCAUGGCUGUCGUCAGCUCGUGUCGUGAGAUGUUGGGUUAAGUCCCGCAACGAGCGCAACCCUCGCCCUUAGUUGCCAUCAUUUAGUUGGGCACUCUAAGGGGACUGCCGGUGAUAAGCCGCGAGGAAGGUGGGGAUGACGUCAAGUCCUCAUGGCCCUUACGGGCUGGGCUACACACGUGCUACAAUGGCGGUGACAGUGGGAUGCUGAGGGGUAACCCCGAGCAAAUCUCAAAAAGCCGUCUCAGUUCGGAUUGUGCUCUGCAACUCGAGCACAUGAAGUUGGAAUCGCUAGUAAUCGCAGAUCAGCACGCUGCGGUGAAUACGUUCCCGGGCCUUGUA
rnacentral:rRNA from 1 species